ACCGACCUGUGCUUUGUCUUUCAGAUGGAGCUGUUGGAGUGCGAUGAGGUGAAACGUGACUCUGAGCCAUCUACUGAGGGAGUAACCUGCUCGCCGCCAGAGUCGACCUACAAGCACAGACCUGCAGCCAACACCUUUUGCUCUUCUUCCUGUUAUUUGCAAGGUGCUGAAGUCAAACUUUGGGCCAGCCUGAAAAGCAGCAGUAAACAUGAUCGGCUUCCUGCUCUCCAAAGACCCAACACUGACUCUCGAGUCAACACACCUGUCCCACGUUCUUCAGAGCCGCCCAG